CAGAGAGAAGGUCAACAGGACCAACCCAGGAUUUAGAAAAAAACUAACGGGUUGGAUAAAUAGCCCCUGGCCAACCAGUUGGGGUAGAGAUAAGGUACCAUCAGAGAAAAUCCAGAGGACACAGCAGUAGGUGCCUUGUCUUUCUCUGAGAAUGUCCCAUGCAGGCCCUGAGUCCUCUUUGGGCACAGAGUCCUAUUGCAGAGACACAUGCUAAGCCCGUGGCUCCUGAUUCAGGCUGACUGGUCAUUAGUCAGUCCUAGAGCACUUCCUACUGUCUGUGGGACUUCGCUGCAAGUCACUGAUUAUCUCCCCUUUGUGUGAUGAG
rnacentral:lncRNA from 10 species